rnacentral:lncRNA from 1 species
UCCGAGGUGGCCGGGGCCAGCGCCUCCCGCAGGAACUCCCUGGGGACAGGAGGGGACAACGAUGAGGUGACAAGGAGGUGACGAUGCCACCCACGGAGCUGCCCAGGUUCCUUCUUAAUCCAUUGGGGAUGGAUGUGAAGCCACCCAGGUGUCCCCAGAUGCCACCCAGGUGUCCCCAGAUGUCCCUAGAUGCCACCAAGGUGUCCCUAGACACCACCCAGAUGUCCCCAAGGUGUCUCCCGGUGCUCCCAGAUGUCCCCAGAUGCCACCUGGGUGUCCCUAAGUUUUCCCAGGUGUCCUCAUACGCCACCAAGGUGUCCCCAGAUACCACCCAGAUGCCUCCAGGUGUCCCCAGAUGCCACCAAGGUGUCCCUAGAUACCACCCAGGUGUCCCCAGAUGCCACCCAGGUGUCCCCAGAUGCCACCCUCAUGUCCCCAAGGUGUCUCCAGGUGCUCCCAGAUGUCCCCAGAUGCCACCAAGGUACCCUAAGAUGCCAGCCAGGUGUCCCCACGUGUCCCUAGACAACACCCAGAUGCCGCCAGGUGUCCCCAGAUGCUACCAAGGUACCCCCAAGUGCCACCCAGGUGUCCCCAAGUGCCUCCAGAUGCCACCAAGGUGUCCCUAGACACCACCAAGGUACCCCCAAGUGCCAUCCAGGUGUCCCCAAGUGCCUCCAGAUGCCAUCCAGGUGUCCCCAGAUACCACCCAGAUGUCGCCAGGUGUCCCCAGAUGCCACCCAGGUGUCCCCAAGUGCCUCCAGAUGCCAUCCAGGUGUCCCUAGAUACCACCCAGAUGCCGCCAGGUGUCCCCAGAUGCUACCAAGGUACCCCCAAGUUCCACCAAGGUGCCACCAGGUGCCUCCAGAUGUCUCCAGGUGCCCCCAGGUGCUACCCAGAUGCCACCCAGGUGUCCCCAAAUGUCCCCAGAUGCCACCCAGGUGUCCCCAGAUGCCACCAAGGUGUUCCCCAGGUGUCCCCAGAUGCCACCAAGGUGUCCCUAGACACCACCCAGAUGUCCCCAAGGUGUCUCCCGGUGCUCCCAGAUGUCCCCAGAUGCCACCUGGGUGCCCCCAGGUGCCACCAAGGUGUCCCCAGGUGUCCCUAGACACCACCCAGAUGCCCCUAAGUUUUCCCAGGUGUCCCCAAGUGCCACCCAGGUACCUCCAGAUGUCCCCAGAUGCCACCAAGGUGUGCCCAGGCGCUACCCAGAUGUCCCCAGGCAUCCCCAAGUGCCACCAAGGUACCCCUGGGUGUCCCCAAGUGCCACCCAGGUGUCUCCAGAUGCCAGCUAGGUGUCCCCAAGUGCUACCGAGGUGCUGCAGAUGUCCCUAGACACCACCCAGGUGUCCCCAAGUGCCUCCAGAUGCCACCAGGGGUCCCAAGGUGCUACACAAGUGUCCUGAGAUGUCCCCAAGGUGUCCCCAGAUGUCCCUAAGCACCACCAAGGUGUCCCCAAGUGCCACCCAGGUGCCUCCAGAUGUCCCUAGACACCACCCAGGUGUCCCCAAGGUGUCUCCAGGUGCUCCUAGAUGUUCCCAGAUUCCACCAAGGCGUCCCCAGAUGCCUCCAGGUGUCCCAAGGUGCCACCAAGGUAGGCCCAGCUGCCACCAAAGUGUCCUCAGGCAUCCCCAAGUGUCCCCAGAUGACACCCAGGUGUCCCCAAGUGCCACCCAGGUGCCUCCAGGUGUCCCUAAGUUUUCCCAGAUGUCCCCAAGCGCCACACAGAUGUCCCUAGAUGCCACUAAGGUGUCCAUAGACACCACCCAGAUGCCACCAGGUGCCCCCAGGUGCCACCAAGGUGUCCCCAAGUGCCACCCAGAUGUCCCCAAGUGCCAGCCAGGUGCUCCCAGAUGUCCCUAGAUGCCACCCAGGUGUCCCUAAGUUUUCCCAGGUGUCCUCAUAUGCCACCAAGGUGUCCCCAGAUACCACCCAGGUGUCCCCAGAUGCCACCCGGGUGUCCCCAGAUGCCACCCUCAUGUCCCCAAGGUGUCUCCAGGUGCUCCCAGAUGUCCCCAGAUGCCACCAAGG